GUAGCCGGUUGGUCAGUCCUCCGGCCAAAUCUGACGGUUCAACCGUUAGGCUUUCGAGGGGAUACUGCCAGACUUGGAACCGGGAGAGGUAAGAGGUACUACAGGGGUAGGAGUGAAAUCUUGUAAUCCCUGUGGGACCACCUGUGGCGAAGGCGUCUUACCAGAACGGGUUUGACGGUGAGGGACGAAAGCUGGGGGCACGAACCGGAUUAGAUACCCGGGUAGUCCCAGCCGUAAACGAUGCUCGACUAGGUGUCAGGCAUGGCGCGACCGUGUCUGGUGCCGCA
rnacentral:rRNA from 1 species